UUCCAAAAUUGUGGUGUGUA
rnacentral:siRNA from 1 species